AGGCCGUGUGCGAUUUGUGGUGGCCUAGUGUUUGCGCGGUGCAUAUAUCGUUUGGCAUAUAUUAUUGACGAAGUGAUUUCAGUUGUGAUCCUGUGACCAAUAAUUGGAUCAAGUCUCUGGCGGCACUUCUAUCGUCGGCGUCGACAGAAACUGGCACCGCACUCGGGCACAUAACCUUGGAUGUCUCGGCGCUGACGCGUACAGUCGCUGCGGCGUCGGGAAGCGUGGGCAUCGCCGUAUCGGCCUACCGCGGGCUGGGGCAAAUGUCGUGUUUGCUCGACGGCUGAAGAGACUUUCACCGUGCUUUGUUGGAGGAAGUUGGGUGUGACUAUUACAGAUAUUCGCCAGGCUUAGGCAGGCUCCUGCUGCUCAGAGCCGGUAUGGACGUCCAAUUGAAUGUGGACGUCCAGCCGGCAGCCCCGCUCGUGGCGGUAUGCACGCCUGCGCCUGACGUCCACACAGACUCUGCCGGCUGUGCGGCGAUGGCGGCCGUGCCUGAGCCGGCCGACGCGCC
rnacentral:lncRNA from 1 species